rnacentral:rRNA from 1 species
UACGGGGGGAGCAAGCGUUGUUCGGAUUUACUGGGCGUAGAGGGCGCGUAGGCGGUCAGCACAAGUCAGUUGUGAAAUCUCCGGGCUUAACUCGGAAAGGUCAACUGAUACUGUGCGACUAGAGUGCAGAAGGGGCAACUGGAAUUCUCGGUGUAGCGGUGAAAUGCGUAGAUAUCGAGAGGAACACCUGCGGCGAAGGCGGGUUGCUGGGCUGAUACUGACGCUGAGGCGCGAAAGCAUGGGGAGCGAACAGG